GACGAACGCUGGCGGCGUGCUUAACACAUGCAAGUCGAACGGAAAGGCCCUGCUUUUGUGGGGUGAUCGAGUGGCGAACGGGUGAGUAACACGUGAGUAACCUGCCCUUGUCUUUGGGAUAACUUCAGGAAACUGGAGUUAAUACCGGAUAGGAGCUCCUGCUGCAUGGUGGGGGUUGGAAAGUUUCGGCGGGUGGGGAUGGACUCGCGGCUUAUCAGCUUGUUGGUGGGGGAGUGGCUUACCAAGUGUUUGGCGGGUAGCCGGCCUGGGUGGGUGACCGGCCACAUUGGUACUGGGAAAGGGCCCAGUCGCCUACGGGGGGCAGCGGGGGGGAAUAUUGCACAAUGGGCGGAAGCCUGAUGAGGCAACGCCGCGGGCGGAAUGCCGUCCUUCGGGUUGAAAACCGCUUUAGCCUGUGACGAAGCGUGUGUGACGGUAAUGGGUGAAGAAGCACCGGCUAACUACGUG
rnacentral:rRNA from 1 species